UGUCGAGGGAUGGGAAUCGAACCCACAGUGUUCCGCUUACCGGGCAGAUGCCAUGUCCACUAGGCUACCCUGGAC